rnacentral:rRNA from 1 species
UACGGAGGGGGCUAGCGUUGUUCGGAAUUACUGGGCGUAAAGCGCGCGUAGGCGGCUUUGUAAGUUAGAGGUGAAAGCCCAGAGCUCAACUCUGGAAUUGCCUUUUAGACUGCAUCGCUUGAAUCAUGGAGAGGUCAGUGGAAUUCCGAGUGUAGAGGUGAAAUUCGUAGAUAUUCGGAAGAACACCAGUGGCGAAGGCGGCUGACUGGACAUGUAUUGACGCUGAGGUGCGAAAGCGUGGGGAGCAAACAGG